AGAGGGAUUAAAGAAUGGGAUGGGGGUAAAAAAAAAAAAAAUCAAAAUAAAAUGAUGAUAGCAGGGCUGUGUUUUUUUUUCCUGUUUUUUUUUUUUUCCCUCCACUCCCUGCUCUGUUUUAAGU